rnacentral:rRNA from 1 species
CAAUAGCGUAUAUUAAAGUUGUUGCAGUUAAAAAGCUCGUAGUUGGAUCUGUGGUGUGCGGUGGGCUCCGGGCACUUGUUGUCUGAGUAGCUCGCCGCUGCCAUCCUUGGGUGGAACCUGUGUGGCAUUAGGUUGCCGUGCAGGGGAUGCCCAUCGUUUACUGUGAAAAAAUUAGAGUGUUCAAAGCAGGCUUAUGCCGUUGAAUAUAUUAGCAUGGAAUAAUGAGAUAGGACUUUUUCGCUAUUUUGUUGGUUUGCGCGAAGAGGUAAUGAUUAAUAGGGACAGUUGGGGGUAUUCGUAUUCCAUUGUCAGAGGUGAAAUUCUUGGAUUUUUGGAAGACGAACUACUGCGAAAGCAUUUACCAAGGAUGUUUUCAUUAA